rnacentral:rRNA from 1 species
ACGGGAGGCAGCAGUGGGGAAUAUUGCACAAUGGGGGAAACCCUGAUGCAGCAACGCCACGUGUGGGAAGACGCAUUUCGGUGUGUAAACCACUGUCGUGAGGGAAUAAGGCUGAGUUUCGGCUCAGUUGAAUGUACCUCGAAAGGAAGCACCGGCAAACUUCGUGCCAGCAGCCGCGGUAAUACGAGGGGUGCAAGCGUUGUUCGGAAUCACUGGGCGUAAAGGGAGCGCAGGCGGAAGUGCAAGCGGUCUGUACAAUCCCGGGGCCCAACCCCGGACCUGCAGACCGGACUGCAUUUCUUGGAUAGUUCAGGGGCAAGCGGAAUUCCUGGUGUAGCGGUGGAAUGCGUAGAGAUCAGGAAGAACACCGAUGGCGAAGGCAGCUUGCUGGGGACUAAUCGACGCUCAUGCUCGAAAGUGCGGGUAGCAAACAGGAUUAGAUACCCUGGUA